CUUGACCGAGCCGAGGAGGAGCGGCCGGUCCUCAGGCCGGUCCUGGCCGUACGUGGCCAGCAGCGCGUGCGCCUC
rnacentral:antisense_RNA from 1 species